rnacentral:rRNA from 1 species
UCGAGCGGACCGACGGGAGCUUGCUCCCUUAGGUCAGCGGCGGACGGGUGAGUAACACGUGGGUAACCUGCCUGUAAGACUGGGAUAACUCCGGGAAACCGGGGCUAAUACCGGAUGCUUGAUUGAACCGCAUGGUUCAAUCAUAAAAGGUGGCUUUUAGCUACCACUUACAGAUGGACCCGCGGCGCAUUAACUAGUUGGUGAGGUAACGGCUCACCAAGGCGACGAUGCGUAACCGACCUGAGAGGGUGAUCGGCCACACUGGGACUGAAACACGGCCCAGACUCCUACGGGAGGCAGCAGUAGGGAAUCUUCCGCAAUGGACGAAAGUCUGACGGAACAACGCCGCGUGAGUGAUGAAGGUUUUCGGAUCGUAAAACUCUGUUGUUAGGGAAGAACAAGUACCGUUCGAAUAGGGCGGCACCUUGACGGUACCUAACCAGAAAGCCACGGCUAACUACGUGCCAGCAGCCGCGGUAAUACGUAAGUGGCAAGCGUUGUCCGGAAUUAUUGGGCGUAAAGCGCGCGCAGGCGGUUUCUUAAGUCUGAUGUGAAAGCCCCCGGCUCAACCGGGGAGGGUCAUUGGAAACUGGGGAACUUGAGUGCAGAAGAGGAGAGUGGAAUUCCACGUGUAGCGGUGAAAUGCGUAGAGAUGUGGAGGAACACCAGUGGCGAAGGCGACUCUCUGGUCUGUAACUGACGCUGAGGCGCGAAAGCGUGGGGAGCGAACAGGAUUAGAUACCCUGGUAGUCCACGCCGUAAACGAUGAGUGCUAAGUGUUAGAGGGUUUCCGCCCUUUAGUGCUGCAGCAAACGCAUUAAGCACUCCG